GAUCCUGGCUCAGGAUGAACGCUGGCGGCGUGCCUUAGGUAUGCAAGUCGAACGAUCUAAAUCAUUUCGUUUACCGGCGUACUUCGGUACAAAAGUAAACUCGAUUUUGAUAGUGGCAGACGGCUGAGUAACACGUGAAUAACGUACCCUUUACACGGGGAUAGCCUCGCGAAAGUGAGGGUAAUACCCGAUGGUCAGUUUAGUUGAAAUACUUUACUGUAAAGAUUUAUCGGUAGAGGAGCGGUUUGCGGCCUAUCAGCUUGUUGGUGAGGUAAUGGCUCACCAAGGCUAUGACGGGUAAGGGGUGUGAGAGCAUGACCCCUCAGAAUGGCACUGAAACACGGGCCAUACUCCUACGGGAGGCAGCAAUCGGGAAUCUUGCGCAAUGGACGAAAGUCUGACGCAGCGACGCCGCGUGGAGGAAGAAGCUCUGAGGAGUGUAAACUUCUUUUAUAGAGGAAUAGGAAGGAAGGUACUCUAUGAAUAAGGACCUGCUAACUGCGUGCCAGAAGCAUCGGUGAUACGUGGGGUCCGAGCGUUAUCCGGAAUUAUUGGGCGUAAAGAGAGUGUAGGGGGUUUGGUUGAUCUUUAUUUAAAGACUCUGGCUUAACUGGAGGAAAGAUGAGGAUAUCGCCAAACUAGAAGUAAAAAGGGGAGAUCGGAACGUGUGGUGUAGCAGUGAAAUGUGUUGAUAUCACACGGAACGCCGGGGACGAAGGUGGAUCUCUGGUUUCUACUUGACCCUGAGACUCGAAAGCUAGGGUAGCAAAACGGAUUAGAUACCCGUGUAGUCCUAGCCGUAAACGAUCCCUGCUAGAUGUCUGUUGUCGCUGCAUUUUUCCUUCGGGAAAAGUUGUAGCUCGAUGGGUGUCGCAGUUAACGCGUUAAGCAGGGCGCCUGGGGAGUACGAGCGCAAGCUUAAAACUCAAAGGAAUUGACGGGGACCCGCACAAGCAGUGGAGCGCUUGGUUUAAUUCGAUGCUAAGCGAAGAACCUUACCAGGGCUUGAACUAUAGCUACUAAGCGUAUGAAAGUACGUCUAUGGGUUUGAUGCUAAAGAGGUGCUGCAUGGUUGUCGUCAGCUCGUGUCGUGAGAUGUUGGGUUAAGUCCCGCAACGAGCGCAACCCCUAUCUGUUGUUAUAAUUUCUACAGAGACUGCCUGGCCCAAACCAGGAGGAAGGUGGGGAUGACGUCUAGUCAGCAUAGCCCUUAUGUCCUGGGCUACACAAACGCUACAAUGGGUGAUACAACGGGCAGCCAAACCGCAAGGUGGAGCGAAUCCUUUAAAAUCAUCCUCAGUUCAGAUUGCAGGCUGAAACUCGCCUGCAUGAAGUCGGAAUUGCUAGUAAUCGCGGAUCAGCACGCCGCGGUGAAUACGUUCUCGGGUC
rnacentral:rRNA from 1 species